GAAACACAGGGAGUCCAGCACAAAGAUACCUAUGCUUGACCAGCUUUUAGUUCACAGGAUGAAUGCCUAUCUAGAAAUACUGGAGUUUCAGGGGCCAUCUGUCUAAAAUGCAGUAAGAAUUUAUCAAAGUCUCCACCCACCUCAUGACGAGGGCUGGAGGACAGCAGUGGACAAGGGUGAGAAAUCACAAGACCUGAGUUCUAGCCCCACCACCUACUGGUUCUUGCACCUCAUGUAAUUUCUCCUGCCAGAGUCUCCAGUUCCUUAGCUAUGAACCAGAACACCUAUAAUACACCAACUCACCUCACAAGCUUGUGGGAUCAAAUGAAGCAGAGCCUGUUGCAAACUGUAAAGUUCUAUGUGAUUGUUUUUACUAUCCCAACCACAAUCUAUGGCCAGGCAGCUCUUCAUAUAGGAGACAGAUUUCUUCCCCUUGGCAAUAAUUGUAAGUAAUAUAUUCCAGGAUGUUUUGCAUUUUCCUGUGCUUAAAAUAAAACUGAACCCAAACAAGAAUGCA